rnacentral:rRNA from 1 species
AUUGAACGCUGGCGGCAGGCCUAACACAUGCAAGUCGAACGAGUGGCGGACGGGUGAGUAAUGUCUGGGAAACUGCCUGAUGGAGGGGGAUAACUACUGGAAACGGUAGCUAAUACCGCAUACCAUCGGAUGUGCCCAGAUGGGAUUAGCUAGUAGGUGGGGUAAAGGCUCACCUAGGCGACGAUCCCUAGCUGGUCUGAGAGGAUGACCAGCCACACUGGAACGGAGAACCGGUCCAGAAUCCUACGGGAGGCGGCAGUGGGGAAAAUUGCACAAUGGGCGCAAUCCUGAUGCAGCCAGUCCCCGUGGAUGAAGAAGGCCUUCGGGUUGGAAAGUAAUUUCAGCGGGGAGGCGUUACCCGCAGAAGAAGCACCGGCUAACUCCGUGCCAGCCGCCGCGGUAAUAC